rnacentral:lncRNA from 1 species
UUACACUUACUUCAAAAGAGAUGAGGAUAUUGCUGGAGCAUGGACUCCCGUGUCUCCCACGUGCAUUCCUCUAUGUUGUGGUGAUUCCAAAGGACUUUCACCAUCGGGAUUUCCUUGUUCCUCAACUUUCUGAUCUGGGUGUCUAGGAUCCGUAUUGGCUGCUCAACAUAGGUGAGAUCCUCUUGGAUCUCCACAUCAGGCUCACUAAGAACCUUGC